rnacentral:lncRNA from 1 species
GGAGAAGUGGGGCUAUAGCUCGGUGACGUGGGACUAUAGCCAGGGGAGGUGGGGCUAUAUGCUGGAGAGGUGGGGCUGUACGAAGGUGAUGUGGGACUGUAAGACGGUGAUGUUGGGCUGUAGGAGGGUGAUGUUGGGCUGUAGGAGGGUGAAGUUGGGCUGUAGGAGGGCGAAGUUGGGCUGUAGGAGGGUGAAGUUGGGCUGUAUGCAGGUGAAGUGGGACUGUAAGCAGGUGAAGUGGGGCUGUAAGCAGGCGAAGUGGGGCUGUAACUUGGGGAAGUGGGGCUGUAACUUGGUGAUGUGGGGCUGUAACUAGGAGAGGUGGGGCUGUAACUUGGAGAGGUUGGGCUGUAACUGGGAGAGGUGGGUGAAUAAGAUGGACUUGUAGGAGAAUAUGCAGGACUAGUUGGGCUAUAGCCCGGCGAACUAGGACUGUAAGUUGGAGAUGUAGGACUGUAGCCUGGAGAGGUAG